rfam:Pristionchus pacificus strain PS312 contig2056, whole genome shotgun sequence.
UCUUCAUUUCACACACUCUCUCACCGGUCAGAGAGGCGAGAGAGUGUGUGAAAAGAAGAGA